rnacentral:tRNA from 1 species
CAGGGAGACAACAAUUGAUCGUGAUGUCUGAGUUUAUUUAUCCUUAGACCAUGAUCCUGUCACCUUAGGUCGAUCGGUACCUCAGAUUGAUUGUCAUAUGCUCUGCAUUUGGCUUUUAAUUUCAGUUCCUAAACUUUGUCUAGGUCACACCCCGCAAGGGUUUUCUCCUGGGCCAUUAGCUCAGGUGGUUAGAGCGCACCCCUGAUAAGGGUGAGGUCCCUGGUUCAAGUCCAGGAUGGCCCGUUCGGUGUUGGGGGUAUAGCUCAGUUGGUAGAGCGCCUGCUUUGCAAGCAGGAUGUCAGCGGUUCGAGUCCGCUUACCUCCACUGAUCACCUCCUGCAACGACCCAAUAGAGAUCACCACUUCAUUCAUGUGACUUAGGUUUGUCCUCUGAAAUGAACCUAGCUUCCUAUCCUUUUCAAUUUUGAAAAAGAGAAAGACAGGACGCUGGGCUCACUGAAUCUUGAAAGGGAUUCAGAGAACUUCAGCAGAACCUUGACAACUGCAUAGGUAAGUCUGGAAAAGAAUAAAGCAUCUCAUGGAUGCACUUUUCUUUUGCAAAGAUCUAGGAAUUAUUUGCAUUAGCGGAUGAUUAAUUGAUCUUUAUUGCAUAAAGGACAGUGUUAAUUCUUGAGCAAGAGCUGAGAAUCUAUAGUGUUCUUUUGAUAUCAAGCAUUUGCUUGUUUAUUACGAGUUUGAUUGGAUGUUUAAAUCUUUUCUAUCUUCAUAACUCAGGGAAACUUGGGGGUAAGUUUUUAGAAACAAUUUGAAUAUCUGAGAAUUAGUGUUCAACACACUUAUGGCUCUAUAGAUAUUUAAU